UACAGAGGGGGCAAGCGUUAUUCGGAAUUAUUGGGCGUAAAGGGCGCGUAGGCGGCCUGGCAAGUGGAAGGUGAAAUCCCUCGGCUUAACCGAGGAACUGCCUCCCAAACUGCUUGGCUUGAGACCGGGAGAGGUGAGUGGAAUUCCCAGUGUAGCGGUGAAAUGCGUAGAUAUUGGGAGGAACACCAGUGGCGAAGGCGGCUCACUGGACCGGUACUGACGCUGAGACGCGAAAGCGUGGGGAGCGAACAGG
rnacentral:rRNA from 1 species